GUCCUUAAUUCACCUCCCGCACGUUGAUUUCUAAUUCACCUCCUUUUCCCGCAUCUGUGUUCUAAGCCCUAAUUCCUUCCCUCCUUCCCCACUGCCUUCAUCAAAAUCUUCUCUUCUUGCGUGUUCGUGGAGCGUCUGUCGCCGCUGCCUUCAUCAAUCUUGGGCUGAGCGUCGAGGUCGAGGCGACAAGGACGAGGUGGCGAGGACUCUGCUGAGGCGAUUUUCAUCACUUCCGUCUCCCUGGACUUGCGCUUGAAAUCCCAGAGGAUCUGUACCAUUUGAUUAAGAAGAAAGUUUCUAUUAGGAAGCAUCUGGAGAGAAACCGAAAGGACAAGGACUCGAAGUUUAGGUUGAUUCUAGUGGAGAGCAGAAUCCACCGUGUUGGACUUCAAGAUCACACUCAUGGACAAGGAUCACCACCACACGUCUCUCAUCAACCUGUAAACCUGAGUUCCAUUGAAAGUCAAUUGCGGAGACUACAUGAAGAGAAUUGUAAGUUGAGAACCGUGCUGGACCAGAUUACCAGAAGCUAUACCCAACUACAAGCUCAGUUAUUCAUCAUUCUGCUGCUGAUCAAGGAAGUGUGCCAAACGAUGUAAUGAAGAAGAACUUUAGAAGUAUUUAAUUUUUAGUAUUGAACAUCUGUCUUUAAUUUUUUAUAACAAAACAGAGAAUUCAAAAUGGCAUAACAUUGAAUUUUGUUUGGAGUGUGCCAUUAUCUGAAAACAUACUUGUUCCAUUGAAGGUUUAUAGAUCCAUUAAGAAAAGGAGAUUAUCCAAAAUUUACAAAG